AUUUUUUGGAUAAAACAAUAUGUUUUAAACUCUAACAAAACAUGAGCAAGGUUUUAGUGGCGUAGCACAAGACUAAGGGUAACAUUGUAAGCAAAUCAUUUUACAAAACAUUUUUUUUUUCAUAAAAUGUUCACUAAUUAUAGUUCAGCUUAUUAUACGCUGACAUCUCCCUUUCCAGACUCCUUGUUUACAUUUGCUUAUGGUUUGAAAAAAAUCUAUUUUGAUGUGAAAUUCACAUUUUUAUCACUUCCCUUUUAC
rnacentral:lncRNA from 1 species